rnacentral:rRNA from 1 species
GACGAACGCUGGCGGCGUGCCUAAUACAUGCAAGUAGGACGCAGUUGCGAACGUGUGAGUAACGCGUAGGUAACUACCUAUUAGAGGGGGAUAACUAUUGGAAACGAUAGCUAAUACCGCAUACUAGUAGAUGGACCUGCGUUGUAUUAGCUAGUAGGUAGGGUAAUGGCCUACCUAGGCAACGAUACAUCGCCGAGUUGGGAGGGUGGACGGCCCAAAUGGGACUUAGACACGGCCCAGACUCCUACGGGAGGCAGCAGUAGGGAAACUUCGGAAAUGGGGGGAAAGCUGAACGAGCAACGCCGCGUGAGUGAAGAAGGUUUUCGGAGCGUAAAGCUCUGUUGUUAAGGGAGCGGUACUUAACCAGAAAGGGACGGCUAACUACGUGCCAGCAGCCGCGGUAAUUC